AGCAGCCGCGGUAAUUCCAGCUCCAAUAGCGUAUAUUAAAGUUGUUGCAGUUAAAAAGCUCGUAGUUGAAUUUUGGGUUUGGCCAAUUGGUCCGUUCUUGUAACGAGUACUGGUUGGUUGGGCCUCACCGCCUGGUGAUACGUAAUGUCCUUUAUUGGGUGUUGCGAGUAGCCAGGACCUUUACCUUAGAAAAAUUAGAGUGUUUAAAGCAGGCUUAUGCCGGAAUACAUUAGCAUGGAAUAAUAGAAUAGGACGAUGAUUCUAUUUUGUUGGUUUCUAGGAGCAUCGUAAUGAUUAAUAGGGAUAGUUGGGGGCAUUAGUAUUCAAUUGUCAGAGGUGAAAUUCUUGGAUUUAUUGAAGACUAACUACUGACGGAAGCAUUUGCCAAGGAUGUUUUCAUUAAUCAAGAACGAAAGUUAGGGGAUACGAAGACGAUCAGAUACCGUCGUAGUCUUAACCAUAAACUAUGCCGACUAGGGAUCGGGCGAUGUUGUUUCAAUGUACUCGCUCGGCACCUUA
rnacentral:rRNA from 1 species